UUCCAAUCAGAUUGAACAGCAUAUUUCUUGGAACAUUUCUCACACUUCCACUUCUUCUCGCCAUGUUUUCUCGAGAAGUGUUUUUUAAUACCUGUUAAAUCUCCCAGAGCUCGCGAUGGAUCAUGGUGGAUACACGUCUUUUCAGGACAAAUAUAAACUUUCUUCUUGAUCACUUCAUUUUUGUUCCUUUGCUUUAGCUUCCAUGGCAAGUUGUGACCUCUUCUGUGGAGCUGUAAAUUCUGGUCCCUCUGAAAACCCUUGUUGCAGAUUUCACAUAUGAAUCGAUUCGUCGCCAUCAGUGACUUUGGUGAUAGUGCUAUCACUUCUGCAUCUGGAUCUGGCUUUCCGGGGAGAUUUCUUUUUCGUUUAGCAGAUGGAUUUGAGUUAGGGUUUGGAUUAUUAUUAGUAGGGUUUGAGUUUGGAUCUUGAAUGAAAGCUAAUGAAGAAAGUCCAUCAUCCGACAUCAUUUUUGAUAGGUGAGAUUUGGAGAAGAAGGUAGAUGAUGAGUAUAAGUGAGAAUAAGGUACCAAAAAAACAAAAAUAGAACAGCUCAGCUUUCAGAAGAAACCAAAGAUUUUGCUGAAAACAGCUAAAUCCCAAGUUUACACAGUAUAAGGUUUUAUUUCCCAGGAAACUAGACAAAAACAAUGGUUACAACUACAAGAUUCCAUCCACAGACUAUUUCUUCUUCAUCUUUCUUACAGAGGUUUUCUGCUUCAAUGUUUAGCACCUAAAAAACUACUACCAU
rnacentral:misc_RNA from 1 species